AAAUAGUCCUCUAGCUAGCUAGCUAACUUGGUCUUGUAUUGAUGGUAUCACGCAGAUUGGUUCUUAUUUCUGUCAUUCAUUUAUUAUCUAGCUAGCUAGCAUUUCCAUUGAACUGAAUCUAUGUAAUGGACCUUGCUAACUUGUUCUCCCUCCAUGGACUUGCAGCCUCUUCCAUGCUCAACCACCAUCAGCCUCCUUAACCCUGACCGAAGAGCUGGCCUUUUCCCCGGUAAGAUGUAACUUUUGGUUAAUUCUCCGUGAGUGUUGGUGGAACAAUUUAGUAGGGAUGUUUGUUUCUAUAGUAUAUAUGAAUGAUUGUGUGUCAUCUUACAUGCUGCUGGUAUGUUCUUAUUUUGACAGAGGCCUGCUGCUUGGAUUCUUGUUGGGGUGGACGAGUUGCCUCCAUCUUGGGAUCCAGUUGUCACGCCUAAAUUCGGUAAUAUACACCAACUUUUUGGCCUCUUGACCUUAUUACUAUCAUGUCUUAACCGAAGUACUAUAUCCUACUUGAUGGCUCUUGUAGUCUUACUAUGUAUGUAUGUCUUAUUAAUAAUUUGCUUCAAGUCAAGUAAACCAUGAAAUGUAGUUCUUAUUUGUUGCUUCCCGAUUCUAGUUUUAGUGCCGAGAUGAACUCCGAGAUUAUCGAUCGAAUUAGGAAGAGGAGAAGCGAGGAUGAUGAAGAUAUGAUGUCCUUUAUUCUGCCCGUAUUGCAUCGAAUGCGUAGUAGAGGGCCAAUCGAGAGAACUCAGUGACAUAGCUCCAUCUUAUAUGGCAAGAAGCGGGUUGAUGAU
rnacentral:lncRNA from 1 species